GACCUGGAACGGUCCGCCGGAGAGGGUGAGAGUCCUGUAACCGAAAACACGGUGCCUGUUGUGAUGGAUACCCGAGUAGCAGCGAGCCCGUGAAAUUCGCUGUGAAUCUGCCGAGACCACUCGGUAAGCCUAAAUACUACCUUGCGACCGAUAGCGGACAAGUACCGUGAGGGAAAGGUGAAAAGUACCCCGGGAGGGGAGUGAAAUAGUACCUGAAACCGUGUGCUUACAAUCCGUCAGAGCCCUCGUUGUGGGGUGAUGGCGUGCCUUUUGAAGAAUGAGCCUGCGAGUCAGUGCUCGGUGGCGAGGUUAACCCGUUGUGGGGUAGCCGUAGCGAAAGCGAGUCCGAAUAGGGCGUUUGAGUCGCCGGGUCUGGACCCGAAGCGGAGUGAUCUACCCAUGGCCAGGGUGAAGCAGCAG
rnacentral:rRNA from 1 species